CGGAUGGGCAUGCGUCGCAUUAGUUAGUUGGCGGUGUAACGGACCACCAAGACGACGAUGCGUAGGGGUUCUGAGAGGAAGGUCCCCCACACUGGUACUGAGACACGGACCAGACUCCUACGGGAGGCAGCAGUGAGGAAUAUUGGUCAACGGGCGGGAGCCUGAACCAGCCAAGUCGCGUGAGGGAUGACGGCCCUAUGGGUUGUAAACCUCUUUUGCCGGGGAGCAAAGUGCCGCACGUGUGCGGUUUGGAGAGUACCCGGAGAAAAAGCAUCGGCUAACUCCGUGCCAGCAGCCGCGGUAAUACGGAGGAUGCGAGCGUUAUCCGGAUUUAUUGGGUUUAAAGGGUGCGUAGGCGGACGCUUAAGUCAGCGGUAAAAUUGCGGGGCUCAACCUCGUCGAGCCGUUGAAACUGGGUGCCUUGAGUGGGCGAGAAGUACGCGGAAUGCGUGGUGUAGCGGUGAAAUGCAUAGAUAUCACGCAGAACUCCGAUUGCGAAGGCAGCGUACCGGCGCCCAACUGACGCUGAAGCACGAAGGCGUGGGUAUCGAACAGGAUUAGAUACCCUGGUAGUCCACGCAGUAAACGAUGAAUGCUAGUUGUCCGGGGCGAUUGAGUUCUGG
rnacentral:rRNA from 1 species